GCUAAUCUGCGAUAAGCGUCGGUGAGGUGAUAUGAACCGUUAUAACCGGCGAUUUCCGAAUGGGGAAACCCAGUGUGUUUCGACACACUAUCAUUAACUGAAUCCAUAGGUUAAUGAGGCGAACCGGGGGAACUGAAACAUCUAAGUACCCCGAGGAAAAGAAAUCAACCGAGAUUCCCCCAGUAGCGGCGAGCGAACGGGGAGGAGCCCAGAGCCUGAAUCAGUGUGUGUGUUAGUGGAAGCGUCUGGAAAGGCGCGCGAUACAGGGUGACAGCCCCGUACACAAAAAUGCACAUAUUGUGAGCUCGAUGAGUAGGGCGGGACACGUGGUAUCCUGUCUGAAUAUGGGGGGACCAUCCUCCAAGGCUAAAUACUCCUGACUGACCGAUAGUGAACCAGUACCGUGAGGGAAAGGCGAAAAGAACCCCGGCGAGGGGAGUGAAAAAGAACCUGAAACCGUGUACGUACAAGCAGUGGGAGCCUCUUAAUGGGGUGACUGCGUACCUUUUGUAUAAUGGGUCAGCGACUUAUAUUCUGUAGCAAGGUUAACCGAAUAGGGGAGCCGAAGGGAAACCGAGUCUUAACUGGGCGUUAAGUUGCAGGGUAUAGACCCGAAACCCGGUGAUCUAGCCAUGGGCAGGUUGAAGGUUGGGUAACACUAACUGGAGGACCGAACCGACUAAUGUUGAAAAAUUAGCGGAUGACUUGUGGCUGGGGGUGAAAGGCCAAUCAAACCGGGAGAUAGCUGGUUCUCCCCGAAAGCUAUUUAGGUAGCGCCUCGUGAAUUCAUCUCCGGGGGUAGAGCACUGUUUCGGCAAGGGGGUCAUCCCGACUUACCAACCCGAUGCAAACUGCGAAUACCGGAGAAUGUUAUCACGGGAGACACACGGCGGGUGCUAACGUCCGUCGUGAAGAGGGAAACAACCCAGACCGCCAGCUAAGGUCCCAAAGUCAUGGUUAAGUGGGAAACGAUGUGGGAAGGCCCAGACAGCCAGGAUGUUGGCUUAGAAGCAGCCAUCAUUUAAAGAAAGCGUAAUAGCUCACUGGUCGAGUCGGCCUGCGCGGAAGAUGUAACGGGGCUAAACCAUGCACCGAAGCUGCGGCAGCGACACUAUGUGUUGUUGGGUAGGGGAGCG
rnacentral:rRNA from 1 species